rnacentral:rRNA from 1 species
AGAGUUUGAUCCUGGCUCAGGAUGAACGCUGGCGGCGUGCCUAACACAUGCAAGUCGAACGGGAACCCUUGGAUUCGUCUGAGGGGGAGAGUGGCGAACGGGUGAGUAACACGUAGGUGACCUGCCCCAAAGAGGGGAAUAACCACUGGAAACGGUGGCUAAUACUCCAUGUGCUCGGUGGUUCGUUCCAUCGAAGAAAGCUCCGGCGCUUUGGGAGGGGCCUGCGGCCCAUCAGGUAGUUGGUAGGGUAAUGGCCUACCAAGCCGAUGACGGGUAGGGGGCGUGAGAGCGUGAUCCCCCACACUGGCACUGAGAUACGGGCCAGACUCCUACGGGAGGCAGCAGUGAGGAAUAUUGCCCAAUGGACGAAAGUCUGAGGCAGCAACGCCGCGUGGGCGAUGAAGGCCUUCGGGUUGUAAAGCCCUUUUCUGGGGGACGAGAGAGGACGGUACCUCAGGAAUAAGUCACGGCUAACUACGUGCCAGCAGCCGCGGUAAUACGUAGGUGGCGAGCGUUAUCCGGAUUUACUGGGCGUAAAGCGCGUGUAGGCGGUUCUGUAAGUCGGACGUGAAAGCUCCUGGCUCAACCGGGAGAGGCCGUUCGAUACUGCAGGACUUGAGGUCGGGAGAGGGACGUGGAAUUCCCGGUGUAGUGGUGGAAUGCGUAGAUAUCGGGAGGAACACCAGUGGCGAAGGCGGCGUCCUGGCCCGCACCUGACGCUAAGACGCGAAAGCGUGGGUAGCGAACGGGAUUAGAUACCCCGGUAGUCCACGCCGUAAACGGUGGAUACUACGUGUUGGUGGCUAUCGUCAUCAGUGCCGUAGCUAACGCGUUAAGUAUCCCGCCUGGGGACUACGGCCGCGAGGCUAAAACUCAAAGGAAUUGACGGGGGCCCGCACAGCAGCGGAGCGUGUGUUUAUUCGAGGCACACGAGACCUUACCUGGUUUGACAUGUACGUGGUAGCGAGCGAAGCGAGCGACUCUUCGGAGAGCGUACACAGUGCUGCAUGCUGUCGUCAGCUCGUGCCGUGAGGUGUCGUAGUCGUACGACGCACCCUCGCUGUUAGUACAUGUGUCUACGGGACCGCCGUUAUGCCGAGAGGUGGAUGACUCAGUCACAUGGCCUCUAUAUCAAGCUACACACGCUACAUGGCCGGUCAUUGG